rnacentral:rRNA from 1 species
GGAAUCUUGGACAAUGGGGGAAACCCUGAUCCAGCAAUGCCGCGUGUGGGAUGAAGGCCCUCGGGUUGUAAACCACUUUUGGCAGGAAAGAAAUCGCCUGUGCUAAUACCACGGGCGGAUGACGGUACCUGCAGAAUAAGCACCGGCUAACUACGUGCCAGCAGCCGCGGUAAUACGUAGGGUGCGAGCGUUAAUCGGAAUUACUGGGCGUAAAGAGUGCGUAGGCGGUUUUGUAAGACAGAUGUGAAAUCCCCGGGCUUAACCUGGGAACUGCAUUUGUGACUGCAAGACUAGAGUGUGUCAGAGGGAGGUGGAAUUCCGCGUGUAGCAGUGAAAUGCGUAGAGAUGCGGAAGAACACCGAUGGCGAAGGCAGCCUCCUGGGAUAACACUGACGCUCAGGCACGAAAGCGUGGGGAGCAAACAGGAUUAGAUACCCUGGUAGUCCACGCCCUAAACGAUGUCAACUGGUUGUUGGGGAUUCAUUUCCUUAGUAACGUAGCUAACGCGUGAAGUUGACCGCCUGGGGAGUACGGCCGCAAGGUUAAAACUCAAAUGAAUUGACGG